rnacentral:rRNA from 1 species
AAUAUUGGACAAUGGGCGAAAGCCUGAUCCAGCCAUGCCGCGUGUGUGAAGAAGGUCUUCGGAUUGUACAGCCCUUUAAGUUGAGAGGCAGGGCAGUAAGUUAAUACCUUGCUGUUUUGACGUUACCGACAGAAUACGCACCGGCUAACUUCGUGCCAGCAGCCGCGGUAAUACGAAGGGUGCAAGCGUUAAUCGGACUUACUGGGCGUAAAGCGGGCGUAGGUGGUUUGUUAAGUUGGAAGUGAAAGCCCUGGGCUCAACCUGGGAACUGCUUUCAUAACUGCUGAGCUAGAGUACGGUAGAGGGUAGUGGAAUUUCCUGUGUAGCGGUGAAAUGCGUAGAUAUAGGAAGGAACACCAGUGGCGAAGGCGACUACCUGGACUGAUACUGACACUGAGGUGCGAAAGCGUGGGGAGCAAAC